rnacentral:rRNA from 1 species
UACGUAGGGUGCGAGCGUUGUCCGGAAUUACUGGGCGUAAAGGGCUCGUAGGCGGCCAACUAAGUCAGACGUGAAAUCCCUCGGCUUAACCGGGGAACUGCGUCUGAUACUGGAUGGCUUGAGGUUGGGAGAGGGAUGCGGAAUUCCAGGUGUAGCGGUGAAAUGCGUAGAUAUCUGGAGGAACACCAGUGGCGAAAGCGGCUUCCUGGUCCGACACCGACGUUCAGGCACGAAAGCGUGGGGAGCAAACAGG